rnacentral:rRNA from 1 species
CCUUUACUAUAGCUUCGCCUUGGCGUUAGCGACCGUAUGUGUAGGAUAGGUGGGGAGGCUAUGAAACCGGGGCGCCAGCUCUGGUGGAGCCAUCCUUGAAAUACCACCCUUACUGUCGUUGACGUCUAACCGAGGGCCGUUAUCCGGUCCCGGGACAUGGCGUGGUGGGUAGUUUGACUGGGCGGUCGCCUCCUAAAGUGUAACGGAGGCGCGCGAUGGUGGGCUCAGACCGGUCGGAAAUCGGUCGUCGAGUGCAAUGGCAUAAGCCCGCCUGACUGCCGAGACUGACAAGUCGAGCAGAGACGAAAGUCGGCCAUAGUGAUCCGGUGGUCCCGCGUGGAAGGGCCAUCGCUCAACGGAUAAAAGGUA